rnacentral:piRNA from 1 species
UGCCAUGGAAAUGAAAGUACAUUCUCAAAGC